rnacentral:lncRNA from 1 species
CCUCCUUGUUUUGUAGUUCCUGCCUUGGAGCAGACCCAAGGCAAGCAAUUAUUGUUUCUGCUGCUGUGCCUUUCUCCUGGUGGCUGGAGAAGCAAGGCAAGGCGUAAUCUCAUCUUUUCUCUGCACGGAUCUACAAGCCCGUGGGGAGUCCUCUGAAACAGAAAAGCACCCCUGCUGGGUCCUGCCCAGUGCUGCUGCUGCUGCCGUCCUCCCGGACUGUCUGUGCGAAGGAGCGACUGUGGUCGGAGGCCUUCUGGGAGAGGUCCAGGCGGAGGCUGGGGGAGGAAGGAGGAUGUGCACGGAUUAUCCCGCUUGAACUGAGACAACUGGCAGCCAUAUGUCCUCCCUUUGGGUACUGAAAAGCUGCUAUCAGGUUUUCCUGGAGCCUGCUCUUUUCCAGGCUGAACAGCCACAGCUCUCAGCCUGUUCUUGUAGGGGAGAGGUGUUCCAUCCCUGGGAUCAUUUUUGCGGCCCUCCUUUGGAUAUGCUCCGACUGGUCCACAUCUCUCCUGUACCAAGGACUCCACAUCUGGAUGAAGUAUGCCAGGUGACAGGCAGGAUCACCUCCCUUGCCCUACUGGCCACACUGCUUUUGCUGCAGCCCAGAAGAUGGAAGCAAAUCCCUAAUGUACAUGUAAGGAAGAUGGGCCUUUCUGCCACCAUCUUACAACACAUCUGUCACAGAAGUUCUGACAAGGUAAACUUGUGGGAACGGGCACUGAGAUCAGUGACUGUGACAUAACCUCCCUGUUACAGAAGAUAGAAAAUUAUGUGUUUGUGCGCUCCUAGGAAUAUAUGAUUGUCCAUCGACCCGAACGCCUCACACAUGAGUUUUUGAUCCUGAGGCCUAAGGGGUCGGGGCCUGCGCUGCGACCGAGCGCCCGACCCGCGCCCAC